rnacentral:lncRNA from 12 species
UUUGCUAACUAUUUCUGUUCAAGACCAUCAUAAAAGCCAUUAAAUCCCAAGUAAGUGGCCCCAGUGUAGCUGCAGGGUGUAACACCGAGUCUGAUCUGAAUUUACCCACUGCAAAGCAAAGCCUGUCACCCUCACAGACUUUUGGGAGCUGGAAACUUUUCUGUUUUCCAGACAGGAUUGCCUAGAAGAAUGGAAGUGCUCUGUCCCAGGGAAGGCUGAGCAGGGCCUGCAGGGCACUGCUCUCUGCUCUGGCUGAGGCACACCAAGGAUGCUGAGCAGCCCAGGGGCUCUGCUGCAAGCAUUUCCAAAAUCACACACGCCGUGCAAGACAAAUCUGAAUUUUUCUGGACACCCUUCCCACCUCAGCAUCCUGAAAGAAAAGGUUGGGAUGUGCUGGGGACGCAGCAUCCCUGUGAUCCUCAAUCAUCUCCUGGGUAUUUUCAGGUGGAGACCCAGCCUGCUUUAUCCACAGGCCCUUUGCUGGCUGCAUUUCUUGGGACAGGUCUGAAUGCCGUCAGUGACCUUGUGGAAACACCUUCUUCACCAUGAACAGCAGCUGUCAAUGAAGGAGAAGAAAGCGUUUCCUGUGAGUGAGAUCUUCCUUCCAAGCUUUAAAAACCCAAGGAGAGACCUGGUGGGAAUGGGAGAGAACCAUUCUAAGGUGAUGGCAAACAAACUCUUCAACAGGAAAAAAAGAGAGGAGCUGAGGAUGAAAUUCUGCUUCAUGGAGAUCUGUGGGCUCCAGACAUGGUCCCUGUACAGGCAUUGCACGAACCAUUCCCAGAAAUGCAAAUGGUUUAAAUUCAUCUUCAAGUGCCUGCACUAAUCUUCAAUAAAAGCCUGGCCACGACGUGAGCAGGGAAGAGCAGGAGCUGAAACAAUCUGACAGGGCAGGAUGCUGCAGAGCUGUGCAGGGAUGGAGCUCCUGCCCCACCCUGACUUUGCCCAUUUUUCCUCUCCCCGUGGGACAAAUAGGACGUUUGGACAGUAAAUUAAUAUGGUUAUGCAGAAGUUGAUUUAUUGUUUACCUUUUAGUCUUAAUUAUAUAUUGUGAGAUUAUUGUUUACUUGAUUAUGCAUUUUUUGAUUGGUGUUUUUAUGUUGUUCACGCGCUGUGUACAAGUUUUUUGGUGCAAUGAUUGGUUGGUGUUUAGAACUUUACUGAUUAUUUUUAUGUUGGGUUUUUUAAUUUUGGAAUUUUAUUUUUUAGUUGUUUUUUUUUUUCUUUUUCUGAUUCAGUACAAUUUAC